UACAGAGGGUGCAAGCGUUAAUCGGAAUUACUGGGCGUAAAGCGCGCGUAGGUGGUUUGUUAAGUUGAAUGUGAAAUCCCCGGGCUCAACCUGGGAACUGCAUCCAAAACUGGCAAGCUAGAGUAUGGUAGAGGGGAGUGGAAUUUCCUGUGUAGCGGUGAAAUGCGUAGAUAUAGGAAGGAACACCAGUGGCGAAGGCGACUACCUGGACUGAUACUGACACUGAGGUGCGAAAGCGUGGGGAGCAAACAGG
rnacentral:rRNA from 1 species